CAGGCAGGCAGGUGGGGGUGGCAGCCGCGUGGGAACGCUGUCCCGAACUCCCGAUCCCCACACCCGUCUGACCCUGACCGCGCCUCCAUUCUCGCAAUCCACCGACCGAAUUCCAAACCCUGCCCGGCUUCCCUCCUUCGGCGCCAGCCGCUGCUCGUCGGCUGCCUCCGCCUAGCCAAUCCAAUGGGGUACGAGGAGAGCAAAAAUCAUCUCCUUAGCCUCAGUUACCAAGAGCUCCAAUGUUUGUGCAAAAGGUAUAACAUUCCUGCUAAGAAGACCCAUUCUCAGUUAGCAAGCUCGCUUGCCUUGCUGCUUGAGGCACCUCCAUCUCCUGGUGCCUCUCCUAUCCUGUUAGCAACUGCGAAAGAAACAUCCAAAUGCGACCAUGUUAACAACAAAAGAGGCCCAUACAAUGUCAGAAAUGAUGGUAGACCACUUGAGCAGGUGAAGCAUCAAAAAGGAUCUCAAACGCCAAUUGAUGAAACAGCUAAAGGGGGGAUUGACACUUGUAUAAGUAUUUCUCCAGUUUCUAUCUGUGGAAGACCAGGUUGUCACAACCAUUCAUCUUCUGAUUGGGGGACUGAUCAUAAUUUGCAGUCUCAAAGUAAUGUGGGUAUUCCAACUAAGUCAGCAAAUCCAAGACUUGUUUGCAAACAUCAUCCUUCACCUGAUAACAUAAUUGAUCAAAUUUGUCCUAUUAUUCAAAAACAUCCUGAGGCUUCCACUCCUUUCAGCCCUACAGAAGAUACCACAGAUAAGGGUUGUGGGCCAUCUGAUAAGAUGUCAGUAAAUUUUCCUACUGUUCAAUUUUCUGUAAUGUCAGAUGAGGGCAUUGAUCUUGUUGUUGAUUUGAACUCCACUCCAGCAAGUUGGGCUAAGAACUUCAUGGCAGAAAUGUGCAUUACCCCUCCUCCCCAACCUGGGAAUUUCUCCAGCUUUAUUAGCAGCUUGGCAAGUAAGGAUGAUCAUAGCACUGAGUCGCCAUCUGGGAAUAUCAUUGUUGACAUCCAGAGCAAGGGAGCUGAGAUUAUCAUUCCUUCCACUAAUUCGUCACUUGCUUCAGAUGUUGGUGAGAACUCUCGUUCAGUGCCCUCUCCAGCUGAUACAAUUACAGUGAACUCAGUGUCAUCCACAUCUACAUUGGCUGGUACUCCAGUUGAACUUUCUGGGUGUCAGGAGGAUGCUCCAGUGAUAUCUUCUUCAUGUUUAACAGCUGAUGUUCAGAACAAUGUGACGUCCAAUAUGAUGCCCGGUGUUUUGGAUAAUGGAGUGCUUCCUCCAGAAUCUGCUGAUGUCUUUAUGAAGUCUGAAAGAAUCGCUGUACCCUUGGAUGAUGCUUCCAUGCUACCAACUGGCAAUAAAGUCAUGACGAGUCCUGGGGGUGUGGUUAGAAGUGUCUCCAAUGAAGACUCCUGUCCAAAAUUUUCAGAAAAACAAACUGCAGACAUUCCUGCAAGGCUUCAGCCUUCUCACAAUGAUGACAUCCAUGAAACCCUAAUGGAGAAUGAACCAGUGGAGGCAGUGGCAGUAGAAGAAAAUGUAGUUUGUGGUGACAGUUUGUCCAUUUCCUGUCAACUAGCUGGUCAGACAGUAGCAAAACUGCCAGUUACAGAUGCUCAGUCACAUGCUAGCUCUGCAGAUCAUUGUGUUGCUCGGAGUUUUGACCUUGCACAACCAACAUCAUCAUCUGCUGCUUCGUAAAUGGGGAAGAGAAGAAAAGCUGGUAAAUAUGUAUUUUUGGUCCAUGGCAAAGUCUACAUGUUCCACUUUUAGCUCUUCUGCAACUGCAAACCUGCUUAUUUGGACAAUGCUAUUAAUUCCCUGACUUCAAAGUACGGUGCAGAGUCAGCACAAAGUCAUGGCUCUACUGACAAAAAUAGAGGGCGUGGUGUUGAGGAGCUUGAGGAGCUUGAGGAGUUAGAGAGCAUGACACCGGCAGCCUAUAGUGAACCUCCUAGAAAUAUACAACUUAGCUUACGAAGUGCUUCUGCUAAAAAAAAGUCUUCUACACUACCAAGACGGUCAGCAAGGCUUGUUCCUAAGUAACCGCUCUAAAUGAUACAGAGACAAGAUCCUAUGUGAGAGUAGCUACCGGCUUUAGUCAGAUUCGGCGAGGCUGGAUUGAUAGAAUACAGUUGUUAACAAGCUAGAUUCUAAACAUGUCUAUUCUUGUUAAUUCUUUCGUUCUAGCAACUGAGUAGCUUGGUUUUGGGAGGUUAGUACUGCUGCCAGACAUUUGUUUCCCCUUCUGUUUUUCAGCAUCUGUUACAGUUGAUGUACUGUCGAGCUUUCAUAUAUCAGUGUACAACGAUGCACACUUACAGAAAUUCCGGACCUGCCGCGUUGUCACCGCCGUUUGGUCUACACUCUGCAGCUA